UAGCUCAACUGGAGUAGAGUAUGGCAUUAACACGGCCAGGGUUAGGGGUUCAAUUCCCACCGAGACACCCA